rnacentral:rRNA from 1 species
CAGCCGCCGCGGUAAUACGAGGGGGGCAAGCGUUGUUCGGAAUUAUUGGGCGUAAAGCGUGCGCAGGCGGUUCGUUAAGACAGAUGUGAAAUCCCCGGGCUUAACCUGGGAACUGCAUUUGUGACUGGCGAGCUAGAGUAUGGCAGAGGGGGGUAGAAUUCCACGUGUAGCAGUGAAAUGCGUAGAGAUGUGGAGGAAUACCGAUGGCGAAGGCAGCCCCCUGGGCCAAUACUGACGCUCAUGCACGAAAGCAUGGGGAGCAAACAGGAUUAGAUACCCCCGUAGUCCCUGUCUCUUAUAC